rnacentral:tmRNA from 1 species
GGGGUCGACAUGGUUUUGACAGCGAGAGAAAUGGUGUGUAAGCAUGCCGAGUGUUGUGAAUAUGACUCGUAAAUCCUAAUUCUCAAACAAAUAACAGGCGAGUAUAACUACGCUAUGGCUGCAUAAUACUAAGUAUUAGCAACCUUUGUUUCACGGAAAGCCACUCCUAACAGCGUUCCGAUACGAAACAUUAUAAAAGUUGGGAUUGUUUGCUCUAUAUCUCUACAGUAAACAAUAUCAGAGGUUAAGGAUUAGUUUUGGUUGGUGUUUUAUACGAGCUAAUCUCGAAAAUUAAAAAACAAUAAGCAUGUAGAAAGCUCAUUAAUUCCUUGUUUGGACGUGGGUUCGAAUCCCACCGACUCCACUU